rnacentral:tRNA from 1 species
UGGGCUGUGGCUCAGCGAUAGAGUGCUUGCCUCACUUGUGUGAGGUACUGGGUUUGAUCCUCAGCACCCCAU